UCUUUUGAAUAUUAUGUUUGGCCCAGAAGCAACUCUAAUUGCGUAGCGCGGGCGCCCAGGCUUGGGCUGUUUGUCCAGCGAGGAACAGGUAGCAGUUUUCGGGGAAGGACCUUGGUUUCGCGGAUUGUCGGGAGUUAAGGAGGAUAUCUCCAGUGAAGGAGCCCGUCCCUCACCCAUUGCAAACUCCCUGGGAGUUCGCCGUCUACUGAUUCAGUUUGUCUGCUUUGCUUUUGAGUUUUGAGACCAGUUGAAAUUAUGGCUCUAUCAGGCUUCUACUAUCAUGAACAUAAACAUAAUGAGCUAGAAUCACUGCCCAGGUCGGACUUCUAAAUGGGUACAUCUAUUUUUCUCUGAGUCUUUAAUUCAAACAGGAAGCGAGCUGAAUAAUAGAGUAGCGUGUUCUCAUCCUCUUCUAGAUGACAAAUCUCUUCUGAAAAGGUUAGUGUUUUCAUGAAUUCCCAGAGAGUUUCUUGUUGUAAAUCUCGCUGGUUCUCCUCCUCCCCUUCAACGAUAUCGUCUUCACUUCAAUGGAUCUCUCCCCUCCAGUACAUGAAAAAACGCACCUCCCCAAAACCAGAUCCUCCGCCUGAAGACACAACUCCAGCCCCGGAAGCUCAGACCAAACCAAAAUUUAUCUCACAUGAGCAUGCCAUCAACUUGAUCAAACGAGAAAAAGAUCCACAACGUGCUCUUGAAAUAUUUAAUGCAGUGUCCAAGCAAAGGGGUUUUAAUCACAACAAUGCUACAUAUGCUACCAUCCUCCACAAACUUGCUCGUUGUAAGAAAUUUCAGGCGGUUGAUGCGAUUAUUCAUCAAAUGACAUAUGAAGCUUGCAAAUUUCAUGAGGGUAUUUUUCUUAAUCUCAUGAAGCAUUUCUCCAAAUCUAAAUUGCAUGAAAGAGUGCUUGAGAUCUUUUAUGCAAUCCAGUCACUUGUUCCUGAGAAGCCCUCUCUAAAAGCCAUCAGCACUUGUCUUAACCUCUUGGUUGAGUCUGAUCAGAUUGAUUUGGCAAAAAAGUUCCUAUUGGAUUCCAGGAAGAAUCUCAGCCUGGAGCCUAAUACUUGUAUUUUCAACAUUUUGAUCAAGCAUCACUGUAAGAAUGGCAAUCUUGAAUCUGCUUUUGAGGUUGUGAAGGAGAUGAAAAAGGCUAAAAUCUCUUAUCCUAACUUGGUAACCUACUCAACUCUAAUGCACGGUCUUUGUGCCAGUGGGAAACUAAUAGAAGCAUUUGAAUUGUUUGAGGAAAUGGUCUCAAAAGAUCAAAUUUUUCCCGAUGCUCUAACUUACAAUGUGUUGAUCAAUGGGUUUUGUUGUGAUGGGAAAGUCGAUAGGGCCAGGAAGAUAAUGGAGUUCAUGACGAAACAUGGGUGCAACCCAAAUGUAUUUAAUUACUCAUCCCUUAUGAAUGGGUUCUGCAAAGAGGGAAGAGUGCAGGAGGCCAAGGAUGUAUUUGAUGAGAUGAAGAGCCUUGGUUUAAAACCUGAUACUGUUGGGUAUACCACUUUAAUUAAUUGCUUUUGUAGAACUGGGAGAAUUGAUAAAGCCAUUGAAUUGCUCAAGGAGAUGAAAGAAAAAGAGUGCAAAGCCGAUACUGUGACCUUUAAUGUAUUACUUGGAGGAUUGUGCAGGGAAAGGAGGUUUGAAGAGGCUGUCUGGAUGCUUGAGAGGGUGCCUUAUGAGGGAGGUUAUUUGAAUAAAGCAAGUUACAGGAUUGUGCUGAAUUUCUUGUGCAAACAAGGCGAAGUUGAGAAGGCAGCUGACUUGUUGGAUCUGAUGCUGAGCAGAGGUUUUCUACCACAUUAUGCAACCUCGAAUGAGUUACUGGUUCGCCUUUGUGAAGCUGGAAAGGCAGUUGAUGCAGCCACAGCAUUGGUUGGAUUGGUUGAGAUGGGGUUUAAGCCAGAGCCCAAUUCAUGGGUUCUUAUGGUUGAAUUAAUUUGCAGAGAAAGAAAGCUGUUGUAUGCAUUUGAGCUGCUUGAUAAGUUAGUUAGAGCAGGUUGUUAAAGUCUCCACAAAAUCCUCAAGCUAGGUUUCCACGUCUGCUGUGUGAAUGCAGAGCCAUCGUUGAUAAUUUUUCGGCAAUGGCAGGAGGGCAUUUGCGCUGGAGCAGACUGGGUAAUGCCCAGCUUAUUCUGGGUGGCUGUUGGCUGUCCUGUGUCAGGUUGCAGGCACGGAGGCAGCAGCACCCUCUGCAGAGAAGAAUAUGGCAAAAUGGGGUUCAUGGGUAACCCAAACUCUCUCCUAGCUACAUUACUUGAAAUUUGUGGAUUUAUGGUACCAGAGUCAGAGAUCCGUUUUAAUUACUGGAGUUCUUUAAUUACUGAAGCCCACUUUGAGAAGUCUUGUCCUUCUAGAAGAAAUUUGCUGAGGAACGUAAACGACAAAGGGAUGUCUAUUACCUGUACCACUACCGAAACUCUUGAAAGAAUUGGCUAGUUGGUACUAACAUCCUUACAAGCCCAUCCAUUCAUUCUUGUACUUCUUAAUAUUUUUUUUAAGUAAAAAUUAUAAUUCUGCUCCACUUUAUCAUUAUUUGCAUUUUUCGAUAAACAUGUAUUCAACAUAGGUGAAAACAUAUUUGCUUGGGGUUCUCAUUUUCA